GUAUUCUGAUGAGUCACAAGAUAGGGACAACUGAGCUUUAUGCUUGAAGAGAAACGUCUUACGCAUGUUUUUAGUAGAACUUUUGCACUUCUGAUA
rnacentral:snoRNA from 1 species